GUACACUCCUGCGGGAGGCAGCAGUGGGGAAUAUUGCACAAUGGGCGCAAGCCUGAUGCAGCCAUGCCGCGUGUAUGAAGAAGGCCUUCGGGUUGUAAAGUACUUUCAGCGGGGAGGAAGGCAAUACGGUUAAUAACCGUGUUGAUUGACGUUACCCGCAGAAGAAGCACCGGCUAACUCCGUGCCAGCAGCCGCGGUAAUACGGAGGGUGCAAGCGUUAAUCGGAAUUACUGGGCGUAAAGCGCACGCAGGCGGUCUGUCAAGUCGGAUGUGAAAUCCCCGGGCUCAACCUGGGAACUGCAUUCGAAACUGGCAGGCUUGAGUCUUGUAGAGGGGGGUAGAAUUCCAGGUGUAGCGGUGAAAUGCGUAGAGAUCUGGAGGAAUACCGGUGGCGAAGGCGGCCCCCUGGACAAAGACUGACGCUCAGGUGCGAAAGCGUGGGGAGCAAACAGGAUUAGAUACCCUUGUAGUCCCAUGA
rnacentral:rRNA from 1 species